UACGACUACAUAUCAGGCAUAUCAAUAAGCGGAGGAAAAGAAACUAACAAGGAUUCCCCUAGUAACGGCGAGUGAAGCGGGAAGAGCUCAAAUUUGAAAUCUUAAAGGGUUCUACCUUGACGAAUUGUAGUUUAAAGAAGUGUUUUCGGUUAGGAGUUUCGGUAAAAGUUCUUUGGAAUAGGACAUCAUAGAGGGUGAGAAUCCCGUAUUUGGUUAUUCUUUCUAGCUUUGUGAUACACUUUCAAAGAGUCGGAUUGUUUGGGAAUGCAGUCCAAAAUGGGUGGUAAAUUUCAUCUAAAGCUAAAUAUUGGCGAGAGACCGAUAGCGAACAAGUACCGUGAGGGAAAGAUGAAAAGAACUUUGAAAAGAGAGUUAAACAGUACGUGAAAUUGUCCAAAAGGGAAGCGUUUGACACCAGUGUUGUUUAGUUGAAAAUCAAUUCAAUAGUUUUUGAUUCUAAGUAGUAUUGACUUCAUCAGCUUGCUGCUUUCUUCUCAGAAAUUAUUGAAUGCACUUUUCAGUUAACAAGUCAACAUCAAUUUCUUUUGUUGUAAAAGGUUAAGAGGAAGGUGGCUUUACUUUCGGGUAAAGUGCUUAUAGCCUUUUAACUCUGCAAUCGGAGAGAUUGAGGUCUGCAGCGUAGAUCCUUCGGGGCUAGAUACGUUUGUGCUAAGUUAUGGCUUUUCAUAGACAACUUGUUGACUAUGUUUAGUCUUGUAGCUUACUCGCAGAUGCUAUUUUACCUACGCUUAGGAUGUUGAUCUACAGAGCGAGAG
rnacentral:rRNA from 1 species